rnacentral:rRNA from 1 species
GUCUACAGUCAUACCACCCUGAACACACCUCAGCCUCCUCUCAUCUUGGAAGCUGAGCAAGAUUAGACAUGGUUAGAUAGGGGAUAACCCAGAAUACCAGGCACUAUAGGCU